rnacentral:lncRNA from 1 species
AAAACAUUAAAUAUAAACACCACUACAAUUAACAUAGUUAAUUAAAAAACAUUAAAAUUUUGUUCCUCUCCAAGUCAUCACUGCAAAACUCAACCCAAGUCAACACACAAACUCUUUUUUUUUUGCGGGCAGCAAGCCAGCCCGCUCCACCCGUUGUUGGCCCGUGUGAAUUAUGAAUUAUGCGGAACAGACUGAAGCGGAUCAGUUAGUUAAAAAAUUAAAUUUACCUCACAUUUUUUAUUAACCGACCCACAUGACUCGCCCGCUUGCGACCCAUAUGCAUAUUCGAUCUUGAUCUGCCCGUACUACAAUUCACUUGCAACUUUGAGUUCUUCAAGUAUCACCAAAAUUCUGCCAAAUAAAAUCCUUUCCUCAAGCCUUCACUUAAUCCUUAUCCAGAAACACAAUCACCA